AUGAGGGUCUCUUUCAAUCUCCGAUGCAUACUUUCAUCCUUUGUAGCCUCGUAUAUAAGCGAGCUGGAGCAGAUCACCAAACCCGCAGAGUCUCAUGCGGUGAUAGAGGCUCGAAGGGAAGGCCUGAGGAGCUGGCUACCUUCACCUAUAUGGGUGGCAAAGAUCAACGUCGAUGGAGCUGUGGCGUGCCACAGACGUGGCGGGGCGGUUUUGGCUGUGUGCCAAGAUCAUACGGGUUUAUAUUUGGGCUCCCCGGCGGUGGUCUUCAGAGACACCACUGAUCCCACAACCUUGGAAACAUUUGCUUGCAGGGAGGCGUUAGCACUUGCAGUUGAUCUGCAUGAAACAAACUUGAUAGUAGCUUCGGAUUGCCAAGAUGAAAUAAUGGGUCGAAGGAACACUUUUGCUUCGGUCUCUUUUGUUCACGAGCGGAGAAACCAUAAUUUCGAUGCUCAUAAUCUCAUCAAAUUUUCUUAUAAUUUAGGAGUAGGUCAGCAUGUCUGGUUGGGAAUUCCUCAUGACCAAUAUCGUGUAUCUAUGAACAUUCAUGUUUCUUAA
rnacentral:rRNA from 1 species